rnacentral:rRNA from 1 species
GGACAGAUGGGAGCUUGCUCCCUGAUGUUAGCGGCGGACGGGUGAGUAACACGUGGGUAACCUGCCUGUAAGACUGGGAUAACUCCGGGAAACCGGGGCUAAUACCGGAUGCUUGAUUGAACCGCAUGGUUCAAUUAUAAAAGGUGGCUUUUAGCUACCACUUACAGAUGGACCCGCGGCGCAUUAGCUAGUUGGUGAGGUAACGGCUCACCAAGGCGACGAUGCGUAGCCGACCUGAGAGGGUGAUCGGCCACACUGGGACUGAGACACGGCCCAGACUCCUACGGGAGGCAGCAGUAGGGAAUCUUCCGCAAUGGACGAAAGUCUGACGGAGCAACGCCGCGUGAGUGAUGAAGGUUUUCGGAUCGUAAAACUCUGUUGUUAGGGAAGAACAAGUACCGUUCGAAUAGGGCGGUACCUUGACGGUACCUAACCAGAAAGCCACGGCUAACUACGUGCCAGCAGCCGCGGUAAUACGUAGGUGGCAAGCGUUGUCCGGAAUUAUUGGGCGUAAAGCGCGCGCAGGCGGUUUCUUAAGUCUGAUGUGAAAGCCCCCGGCUCAACCGGGGAGGGUCAUUGGAAACUGGGGAACUUGAGUGCAGAAGAGGAGAGUGGAAUUCCACGUGUAGCGGUGAAAUGCGUAGAGAUGUGGAGGAACACCAGUGGCGAAGGCGACUCUCUGGUCUGUAACUGACGCUGAGGCGCGAAAGCGUGGGGAGCGAACAGGAUUAGAUACCCUGGUAGUCCACGCCGUAAACGAUGAGUGCUAAGUGUUAGAGGGUUUCCGCCCUUUAGUGCUGCAGCAAACGCAUUAAGCACUCCGCCUGGGGAGUACGGUCGCAAGACUGAAACUCAAAGGAAUUGACGGGGGCCCGCACAAGCGGUGGAGCAUGUGGUUUAAUUCGAAGCAACGCGAAGAACCUUACCAGGUCUUGACAUCCUCUGACAACCCUAGAGAUAGGGCUUCCCCUUCGGGGGCAGAGUGACAGGUGGUGCAUGGUUGUCGUCAGCUCGUGUCGUGAGAUGUUGGGUUAAGUCCCGCAACGAGCGCAACCCUUGAUCUUAGUUGCCAGCAUUCAGUUGGGCACUCUAAGGUGACUGCCGGUGACAAACCGGAGGAAGGUGGGGAUGACGUCAAAUCAUCAUGCCCCUUAUGACCUGGGCUACACACGUGCUACAAUGGGCAGAACAAAGGGCAGCGAAGCCGCGAGGCUAAGCCAAUCCCACAAAUCUGUUCUCAGUUCGGAUCGCAGUCUGCAACUCGACUGCGUGAAGCUGGAAUCGCUAGUAAUCGCGGAUCAGC